rnacentral:lncRNA from 1 species
AGAUGUAAAAUAAGAUAACGGCAAUCACCUUGGAGAGUGGUUACUGGCGUUCAACAUUCAUUCAACUAAAAGAUGGAAAGUUUCCUUUUGAGAGGAGAAAAAAAUGGUGAAAAGAAAAUUCUAGCAAAUAAAAAAUGAUUUGCAAGGCUUCUCCUGUACUUGCUAAGCUGGAGUGCAAUGGAGUGAUCUCAGCUCACUGCAAC